rnacentral:tRNA from 5 species
GACCUGUUAGCUCAGUCGGUAGAGCAACGCCCUUUUAAGGCGUGGGUCGAAAGUUCGAAUCUUUCACAGGUCA